rnacentral:rRNA from 1 species
AGGACGAACGCUGGCGGCGUGCUUAACACAUGCAAGUCGAACGGAAAGGCCCUGCUUUUGUGGGGUGCUCGAGUGGCGAACGGGUGAGUAACACGUGAGUAACCUGCCCUUGACUUUGGGAUAACUUCAGGAAACUGGGGCUAAUACCGGAUAGGAGCUCCUGCUGCAUGGUGGGGGUUGGAAAGUUUCGGCGGUUGGGGAUGGACUCGCGGCUUAUCAGCUUGUUGGUGGGGUAGUGGCUUACCAAGGCUUUGACGGGUAGCCGGCCUGAGAGGGUGACCGGCCACAUUGGGACUGAGAUACGGCCCAGACUCCUACGGGAGGCAGCAGUGGGGAAUAUUGCACAAUGGGCGGAAGCCUGAUGCAGCAACGCCGCGUGCGGGAUGACGGCCUCGGUUGUAACCGCUUCGCCUGUGACGAAGCGUGAGUGACGGUAAUGGGUAAAGAAGCACCGGCUAACUACGCGCCAGCAGCCGC